rnacentral:rRNA from 1 species
GAAUCUGCCUGGUAGAGGGGGAUAACUUUNGGAAACGGNCGCUAAUACCGCAUANCGUNCUNCGGGNCAAAGCAGGGGACCUUCGGGCCUCNCGCCAUCAGAUGAGCNUAGAUGGGAUUAGCUAGUAGGUGAGGUAAUGGCUCACCUAGGCGACGAUCCNUANCUGGUCUGAGAGGAUGNUCAGUCACACUGGAACUGAGACACGGUCCAGACUCCUACGGGAGGCAGCAGUGGGGAAUAUUGCACAAUGGGCGCAAGCCUGAUNCAGCCAUGCCGCGUGUAUGAAGAAGGNGUUCGGAUUGUAAAGCACUUUCAGCGGGGAGGAAGGGCAUUAGCUUAAUAACCUAGUGUUUUGACGUUACCGGCAGAAGAAGCACCGGCUAACUCUGUGCCAGCAGCCGCGGUAAUACAGAGGGUGCAAGCGUUAAUCGGAAUUACUGGGCGUAAAGCGCGCGCAGGUGGUUUGUCAAGUCGGAUGUGAAAUCCCCGGGCUCAACCUGGGAACUGCAUUCAAAACUGGCAGGCUAGAGUAUUGUAGAGGGGGGUAGAAUUCCAGGUGUAGCGGUGAAAUGCGUAGAGAUAGGGAGGAACACCGGUGGCGAAGGCGGCCCCCUGGACAAAGACUGACGCUCAGGUGCGAAAGCGUGGGGAGCAAACAGGAUUAGAUACCCUGGUAGUCCACGCCGUAAACGAUGUCGACUAG